rnacentral:rRNA from 1 species
GAUGAACGCUGGCGGCGUGCUUAACACAUGCAAGUCGAGCGAAGCACUUAUGAUGAUCCUUCGGGUGAUUCAUUUGUGACUGAGCGGCGGACGGGUGAGUAACGCGUGAGUAACCUGCCUCAUACAGGGGAAUAACAGUUAGAAAUGACUGCUAAUGCCGCAUAAGCGCACAGGGCUGCAUGGCCCGGUGUGAAAAACUCCGGUGGUAUGAGGUGGACUCGCGUCUGAUUAGCUAGUUGGCAGGGUAACGGCCUACCAAGGCGACGAUCAGUAGCCGGCCUGAGAGGGUGAACGGCCACAUUGGGACUGAGACACGGCCCAAACUCCUACGGGAGGCAGCAGUGGGGAAUAUUGCACAAUGGGGGAAACCCUGAUGCAGCGACGCCGCGUGAGUGAAGAAGUAUUUCGGUAUGUAAAGCUCUAUCAGCAGGGAAGAAAAUGACGGU